AACCAAGUCUAAGUAUGUUUCUAAGGUACAGCCUCUGUUCUCCAGCGUAGAUCUGACAAUGAGGAGUACGUCGAGGUUGGUCGUCUGGGGCCAUCCGACUACUUUGGUGAGAUCGCCCUGCUGCUGAACAGGCCGCGGGCGGCCACAGUGGUGGCCCGGGGACCCCUGAAGUGUGUGAAGCUGGACCGGCCCCGCUUCGAACGGGUCCUGGGGCCCUGCUCGGAGAUCCUAAAGAGGAACAUCCAGAGAUACAACAGCUUCAUCUCUCUCACCGUGUGAGGGGCCCCCGGGGGCCAAAUGGGGAGGGAAAGGUGCGGAUGGGUGGGGCAGGGGGGUUCCGCUGACAGGGCUUCUUCCUGACUUUUGUUCUUUUGGCUCUGUUCUUCUAAUUCUGAUCUUCUUCUUGUCCUUCACUUUGACCUGUACUGUCUCUGUAGCUCUAUGGAAAUGAACAAUGAAACAUGUGGGAUGAAUGUGGAGAGGACGGACACACAGUGUGGAUGUACUUUAAAUGGCUCAUAUGUUACAGGGGUCAUAUAUGUUUACUGAAUAUGAUACAUGCUUGGAGAAUGCAAUGAAUGGAGGUAGAUUGCACUUGUAUGUAUUUUAUGAGGAAAACUAUAACAGAGGAGGGGUGGGGUAAUUCAGGAAGGGAAGUCAUGAAUUCAGGAAGUGAUGUCAUGUUUACGUACAGCGAUGGAGGAAGUUGGGUGUCUUUGCGCGCUGGUUGUAGUUUUUUGCCUUUUCGCUUUAGGGUCCUGGUCGUUGGUCCGUGGUUGCCAUUUCUAUGUCAAAUCAACCCACUACCUGAUGACACAGGCCUUUGUUUCCUAAAAACUAGAGGUAGAUGUAAAAACAACUUUUAUUCUUGUCUGUUUCAUUGAUCUCAAUGCUUUUUAACUGUGCUUGUGUUGCUGGUACGAAUGACGAUGGGGUGUUUGUUAGAAGUUAUAUUUUGAAUAGGGGUUUUAUUGAUGGAUGCUGCAAAUGUGCCAUGUGAAGGAGUGUGGCUUUUAUUUUGUAAAGAUACCUCCAUUCUGAUGUUCAAUCUGAAUCUGAAUCUGUAAAUUGUUCCAAAGGCGCAAUAGUGUUUGUUAGAUUAACACACACACACACACUCUCUCAAACACAUAACA